rnacentral:rRNA from 1 species
AAUACGAAGGGACCUAGCGUAGUUCGGAAUUACUGGGCUUAAAGAGUUCGUAGGUGGUUGAAAUAGUUGGUGGUGAAAUCCCAGAGCUUAACUCUGGAACUGCCAUCAAAACUUUUCAGCUAGAGUUUGAUAGAGGAAAGCAGAAUUUCUAGUGUAGAGGUGAAAUUCGUAGAUAUUAGAAAGAAUACCAAUUGCGAAGGCAGCUUUCUGGAUCAUUACUGACACUGAGGAACGAAAGCAUGGGUAGCGAAGAGGAUUAGAUACCCUCGUAGUCCAUGCCGUAAACGAUGUGUGUUAGACGUUGGAAAUUUAUUUUCAGUGUCGCAGCGAAAGCGAUAAACACACCGCCUGGGGAGUACGACCGCAAGGUUAAAACUCAAAUGAAUUGACGGGGACCCGCACAAGUAGUGGAGCAUGUGGUUUAAUUCGAAGAUACGCGCAGAACCUUACCAACACUUGACAUGUUCGUCGCGACUUUAAGAGAUUAAAGUUUUCGGUUCGGCCGGACGAAACACAGGUGCUGCAUGGCUGUCGUCAGCUCGUGUCGUGAGAUGUUGGGUUAAGUCCCGCAACGAGCGCAACCCUCACUUUUAGUUGCCAUCAUUAAGUUGGGCACUCUGAAAGAACUGCCAGUGAUAAGCUGGAGGAAGGUGGGGAUGACGUCAAGUCCUCAUGGCCCUUACGUGUUGGGCUACACACGUGCUACAAUGGUAUCUACAACAGGAAGCAAAACGGCGACGUUAAGCAAAUCCUUAAAAGAUACCUCAGUUCGGAUUGCACUCUGCAACUCGAGUGCAUGAAGCUGGAAUUACUAGUAAUCGUGGAUCAGCGUGCCACGGUGAAUGCGUUCCCGGGUCUUGUACACACCGCCCGUCACACCAUGGGAGUUGGUUCUACCUUAAGGCAAGGUUUAAAACCCUUGACCAUGGUAUAGUCAGC